CCUAUAGUUCAAUGGAUAGAAUAGCGGUCUCCGAAGCCGUUGAUGCAGGUUCGAUUCCCGCUAGGCG
rnacentral:tRNA from 1 species